rnacentral:rRNA from 1 species
AAUAGAUACCCUGGUAGUCCACGCCGUAAACGAUGAGUGCUAAGUGUUAGAGGGUUUCCGCCCUUUAGUGCUGCAGCUAACGCAUUAAGCACUCCGCCUGGGGAGUACGGUCGCAAGACUGAAACUCAAAGGAAUUGGCGGGGGCCCGCACAAGCGGUGGAGCAUGUGGUUUAAUUCGAAGCAACGCGAAGAACCUUACCAGGUCUUGACAUCCUCUGACAACUCUAGAGAUAGAGCGUUCCCCUUCGGGGGACAGAGUGACAGGUGGUGCAUGGUUGUCGUCAGCUCGUGUCGUGAGAUGUUGGGUUAAGUCCCGCAACGAGCGCAACCCUUGAUCUUAGUUGCCAGCAUUUAGUUGGGCACUCUAAGGUGACUGCCGGUGACAAACCGGAGGAAGGUGGGGAUGGCGUCAAAUCAUCAUGCCCCUUAUGACCUGGGCUACACACGUGCUACAAUGGAUGGUACAAAGGGCUGCAAGACCGCGAGGUCAAGCCAAUCCCAUAAAACCAUUCUCAGUUCGGAUUGUAGG